CCUACGGGAGGCAGCAGUGAGGAAUAUUGGUCAAUGGGCGGGAGCCUGAACCAGCCAAGUCGCGUGAGGGAAGACGGUCCUAUGGAUUGUAAACCUCUUUAGGCGGGGAGCAAUGCCGGGCACGCGUGCCCGGAGGGAGAGUACCCGCAGAAUAAGCAUCGGCUAACUCCGUGCCAGCAGCCGCGGUAAUACGGAGGAUGCGAGCGUUAUCUGGAUUUAUUGGGUUUAAAGGGUGCGUAGGCGGAUUUUUAAGUCAGCGGUAAAAUGCGGUGCUCAACGCCGUCGAGCCGUUGAAACUGGCGUUCUUGAGUGGGCGAGAAGUAUGCGGAAUGCGUGGUGUGGCGGUGAAAUGCAUAGAUAUCACGCAGAACUCCGACUGCGAAGGCAGCAUACCGGCGCCCUACUGACGCUGAGGCACGAAAGCGUGGGUAUCGAACAGGAUUAGAUACCCCAGUAGUC
rnacentral:rRNA from 1 species